AGUGAACGCUGGCGGUAGGCCUAACACAUGCAAGUCGAACGGCAGCACAGAGGAGCUUGCUCCUUGGGUGGCGAGUGGCGGACGGGUGAGGAAUACAUCGGAAUCUAUUCUGUCGUGGGGGAUAACGUAGGGAAACUUACGCUAAUACCGCAUACGACCUACGGGUGAAAGCAGGGGACCUUCGGGCCUUGCGCGACUGAAGGAGCCGAUGUCGGAUUAGCGAGUUGGCGGGGUAAAGGCCCACCAAGGCGACGAUCCGUAGCUGGUCUGAGAGGAUGAUCAGCCACACUGGAACUGAGACACGGUCCAGACUCCUACGGGAGGCAGCAGUGGGGAAUAUUGGACAAUGGGCGCAAGCCUGAUCCAGCCAUACCGCGUGGGUGAAGAGGGCCUUCGGGUUGUAAAGCCCUUUUGUUGGGAAAGAAAUCCAGCUGGCUAAUACCCGGUUGGGAUGACAGUACCCAAAGAAUAAGCACCGGCUAACUUCGUGCCAGCAGCCGCAGUAA
rnacentral:rRNA from 1 species